UACGAAGGGGGCUAGCGUUGUUCGGAAUCACUGGGCGUAAAGGGCGCGUAGGCGGCCGUUCAAGUCGGGGGUGAAAGCCUGUGGCUCAACCACAGAAUGGCCUUCGAUACUGGACGGCUCGAGACCGGAAGAGGUCAGUGGAACUGCGAGUGUAGAGGUGAAAUUCGUAGAUAUUCGCAAGAACACCAGUGGCGAAGGCGGCUGACUGGUCCGGUUCUGACGCUGAGGCGCGAAAGCGUGGGGAGCAAACAGGAUUAGAUACCCCCGUAGUCC
rnacentral:rRNA from 1 species